AGAUCAUUUUGGGGACAAUUCUUUAGUAACCCCUUAUACCUCUCCCAUGCUUCAUAUAAAGAUUCUACCACUUGUUGCUCAAAAUUAGCUAUGGCUUUCUUGAUUUU